GUGCCAGCCGCCGCGGUAAGACGAACCGUCCAAACGUUAUUCGGAAUCACUGGGCUUAAAGGGUGCGUAGGCGGUCCGGUAAGUUGGGUGUGAAAGCCCUCGGCUCAACCGAGGAAUUGCGCCCAAAACUGUCGGACUCGAGGAAGAUAGAGGUGAGCGGAACUUAGGGUGGAGCGGUGAAAUGCGUUGAUAUCCUAAGGAACACCAGUAGCGAAAGCGGCUCACUAGGUCUUUUCUGACGCUGAGGCACGAAAGCUAGGGGAGCGAACGGGAUUAGAUACCCCGGUAGUCCUAGCCCUAAACGAUGAGCACUGGUUUGGAGGGCCCUCCAUAGCCCUCCAGACGAAGCGAAAGUGUUAAGUGCUCCGCCUGGGGAGUAUGGUCGCAAGGCUGAA
rnacentral:rRNA from 1 species